rnacentral:rRNA from 1 species
GAUGAACGCUGGCGGCGUGCUUAACACAUGCAAGUCGAACGGAAAGGCCACAGCUUGCUGUGGUACUCGAGUGGCGAACGGGUGAGUAACACGUGGGUGAUCUGCCCUGUACUUCGGGAUAAGCUUGGGAAACUGGGUCUAAUACCGGAUAGGAAUCACAUGUGGGUGUGUGGUUGGAAAGCUUUUGCGGUAUGGGAUGAGCUCGCGGCCUAUCAGCUUGUUGGUGGGGUAAUGGCCUACCAAGGCGUCGACGGGUAGCCGGCCUGAGAGGGUGUACGGCCACAUUGGGACUGAGAUACGGCCCAGACUCCUACGGGAGGCAGCAGUGGGGAAUAUUGCACAAUGGGCGCAAGCCUGAUGCAGCGACGCCGCGUGGGGGAUGACGGCCUUCGUGUUGUAAACUCCUUUCGUCAGGGACGAAGCGAAAGUGACGGUACCUGGAUAAGAAGCACCGGCUAACUACGUG